AUUGGGAGCAGCCCCUGUUUGGGAGCAGCCGGGCGCACACAAUACGUGGCGUAGUCUAAUGACGAAAAUGACCCUGCUUUCCAUUCCCUCCCUCAGCAUUCUGGUACAUUUGAUUUUUGAGAAAGAGAAGAAACAGAGCUCGUGUUCCCUCCUCUCUCCCGAACGUAAGAAGUCGAAAUCCCUCUCGCCCUCCCGAAUCUCCUCAUCCUUUUGAUUUUUGAGAAGGUUUCAUAACUGGGCGCUCUAGUUAGCUGAUCUCUCCCGAAACGUGUGUUCUCGGUUCUCGAAGGUUUCAUAACAGCACUCUCCCCCUCGUCUCGCAAAAGCUCCCCCUCCCGAAAGCUCCUCAGCCCUAGAAGCCAAGCAACCACCGACCUCAACCCUCCCCACCAAGACCCUCAGCCCUCCCGAGGAGAUUAGUCCCCAUGCCCUAGGUCCCUAAGUCUACAGAUUAUUUGGUACCGGUAAAUAAUCUGUGAUUCUAGGGCUUGGGCAAAAUUAAUUUUUUUUUUGUCUAUUUGCUUCAUUAUUUUUUGCUCCGUGUAUUUGCUAGAAACUAAUGGUGAAAUUCAGUUCGUCUGUCAUUUUCUUUUCAGGAACUGGAAAUGCUUCAGGAAGAAUUUAUUACUCGCUAUCCAGGUUAUAAGUUCAAGCUCCUUCAUUACAAUGUAUCGUUUAUUUUGUCUAAUUUCUGACUGUUCUUUUAGAUUACGUCUUAGACCUAAAUUAUGGUAAUUGUAUGUUUUAAAUAUUUGAAGGUUAUUAGUUUGCACAUUCUCGUGGACAAAAACUACUUUUGACAUCACAAUUUUAUUGUGAUGAAUACUGUGAUAUGAUAUGAAAAAACAACAUUGUUGCUUGGGUAAUUGUAAGCUAGCAUUCAAUGAUUCACAAUUUGAUCCAAACAAAACUGCUUGACUUGCAACAUUUCAUUUCAUUUCAUAAACUGGACAAGUUUAUGAGGACUUUUGAUGCUUGUUUGUUUCAAUUGUUGCAUGAGAUUUUGUUCCUCGGCAAGUUCUUAUUGUUUAAAAAGCUUGAUUGUAGUUUAAUGCUUGCUGUUAUUUUAGAUUUACUUGUUUUUUUUGUCUUCCUUUUUUAAUUUUUUUUUAUUAAAUUUUUUUUUUUAACUUUAAAAGCCUCAAAUAAUGUUCUCUGCUAUUAAUUUGCAAUUGAUUUAAACUUUCAGGUACCUCCUUACCAUUUUAGCAAGAAGUCUCUCUUUAUGUUCUGUUUGUGCUUCAUCUGGUGUGGAGUAACUUCUGGAUAGCUUUUUAUGCUAAGCUAGUUUUUCCUGAAAUUCUUAAGAUGGAAAACAAUAGCUAUUCCAACUUUUUUUUUCAUGCAUUUUCUACUGGUGUUUAGGUUAUUGUGCAUUAGACUUUCUGUGUUCUAUAGUUUCUUGUCCAUGAAGUUCUUCAUAAGCCCCAAAGCCACACCGAUUCUUUAGAUUUAUCAAGGUGUGAGUUUUUCUGAUUUCAGUCAAUUGGGUAUGUUCUUUUCCUCAACCAUGAUAUAUAUAUAUUUUUGAUAUAUAAACAAAUUUUAUUGACAUCCCGAAAGGCACAGCCUGAAUUACAACUCUGAUGCCCCACCUAAGUAGGUGCAUUAGAGGCAAGAAAGCCUCCUACGGCCAAAUUCUUUAAAUAUUUUUCCUCAACCAUUAGAUAUUGAAUGCAUAUUUUGUCAUGCUUCCACUGCAAAUGAGUGCGCCUCUGGCUCUAUCAGACCUUUAGGUGUCUUAGACGAAGUUCACAAAAAUUUCUUUUGAACUCUACAAAGGAGCUGAAAGUUUUAUGCCAUUUUCUCCAGAUCUUAUAUACUUUAUUUGGAUUAACCGUCACUAUAGCUGGAAAGGAAUUCUGGAAUUUGUAAUUGUUAUCCUUUUAUUCAAUUGGCUCGAGUUUUAAACCAUGCUGCAGGUCCCCCCGCGCUAACGUAAUGAUGUCUUGAUGAUUUAAAACACGUGAAUGUAAGUUCUCAGUGGCUGCACAUUCAUUGGUCUGAAAACCAUCAUUCUGACCAGUACACUUUAUUGAAUCAGCCAUGUCAGCAUCUCAAUCAUCAUCUGUUGUUAAUGAUUUUCGCAUGGAAUCUCCAACUUGUUGGUGUGGUUUGAAAACACAACUAAAGACAUCUCACAUGUCAAAAAAUCCCGGAAGGAGAUUUUUCGCUUGCCCAAACUAUAAAACGGGAGAUGCAAGGUGUGAAUUUUUUGUAUGGGCCGAUAUACUUCAUUUGCUAGAUGAAAAUUUUCGUGCCCGUGAGAAUAAGGCGACAAGUUUUUUGUUGAAUGAUGUAUUGCAGCGCGAGUAUGCUGUUCGGAAACGGGAAGAUAAAGUGAGAGAGAUGGCAAAGAAUCUGAAAAAGCAAAAGCGAAAACUUCUGAUUUUGUACUGGAUUCUGACAUUUGUAAUAGUGUUUAUUUGGUUUGCAUAAAUUAUAUGUAAAGUACUGUGUAUGAUAGAAUGUGUGUUUUGCAUGCUCCUUUUGAAGUGCACAUGGUUGGUGGACCAAGACCAUGUAUUUAAAUUGUAUGGUGUUAAGACAUUAACUGUGUAAAGAACUUUAGUGCAAUUAUCUUGUCCUUGUAGACUC